AGGUAAGUAUUAAAUAGUUGUAUAAUUAUUAUAUAUAUCUAUAAAUGAAAGGGUAAACACUCCACCUCAAGAGUAAUAUGGCAACAUAGGAACUGAAAUCAUUAGACCGUUUCUGAAACCAGUAGUGAAGUAUGUUGUUUAAUUUGAUGAUCUUUCUUAAAACCUUACCAUAAUUUGAAUGUUUUAGAUAAGCCACUUAUCUAUUUCACAGGAGUUGCACGGCUGUCUUCAGUUUAUAUCUUGAGAUUUUGGUUAGAUCCAUUAAAUCAACGUAAACCUUUAUUUUAUUUUAUACAUAAAAUAUCCUUGCCACUAUGUUGGUAAGACAAGAGGGACUAAGACAAGUCACCCGGGCCCUUUG
rnacentral:rRNA from 1 species